UUGUAUAGUCAUAUGUUCAUUGUAACACACAUUGAGAAGAUUUAACUGACAUAUAAAACCUGUGAUUUCAUGGACAUUAGUAUUUAGGACAAAAAGGCAGUCAACUUAAAGAAAAAUUUAAAGAAACAAGAGCACAGCCUAAAGUGAUAGCAUUGGUCAAGUAAAUAAUAGCUACAGGAUAAAUUUCAGAAAAAUACAAACAACCUGCAUGAUCCAGCUUCUCCUUUUCCUCUCUGAUCUGAUCUCCGGAAGGUGCCCGCUUUCUCUUCUUCAGCCACACAGCCAUACUGAGUGCAUCCACACCCCCAGGCUCACCUGCUCUUUCUCCACUUUGCGUCUUGGCAAGCACCAUAUCUUUGCUUGUACCACCUCGUCUCCCUUUCUGGCAAAGGAAAACCAAACUUGUAAGAUUCUGCUCCAAGAGCCUUCCCUCUGAAGAGUUCUCUGGCUACUUCGGGGGAACAACCACCCCAUCUGUGGUAGGCAGAAUAAUGGCCCCUCAAAGAUGUCCACAUCCUAAUCACCCAUGAAUAUGUUACCUUGCGCGGCAAAAGGGACUUUGCAGAUGUGACUAAGUUAAGGAGUUUUUGAUGAGAAGAUUAUCCUGCAUUAUCUGGGUGAACAAGUGCAACCACCAGCAUCUUUUUAAGGAAAAAAGGAAGACAAGAGGAUAGAAAGAGAUGUGACAAAGGAAGCAGAGGUCAGAGUGCACUGGGGCCACCAGCCAAGGAAUGUGGGCAGCUUCCAGAAACUGGAAAAGGCAAGGAAAUGGAUUCUGCCCAAGAGACUCCAGAAGGAACACAGCCCUGCCAACCCAUUUUGGUCCUCGUCGUGGAACCUAUCCUGCUGAUUUGCAGUUCUUAUUCCAUAUAACUAAUCUCUCCUCCACAAUUCCACCCCUCCUCCAGAAGCCAUGAGCUCCUUGUAGAGACUGUGUCAUGUGUAUCUUUGCGGUAGGAAUGGCAGGAGAGUGGUAUUCUGGAAUUUGGGGACAAAGAAUUUAAGAAGGUAGGAGGAGUCAACAUUGUCAAGUGCUACAGAAAAGUGAGGCAAGAUAAGGACUGAAAAUAGAUCAUUGGAUUUAAGAGGUCCCUAGUGGCCUUGGGAGAAGAUACUCACAUGCAGACGCCAGAGUGGAAGAUGAUGUAGUGGGCUGAUGAGUGAGUGGGAGUUGAAGAAGUGGAGAUAAUGAGCAUAAACACCUCUUUUAAGAGAUGUGUUGGAGAAGAAGAAGAGAGGACAUUCACCUGAGAGGGAAGAGAAGGAGUUUGUUUUUUAGAACCUCAAAAUUUGGAGAGGUAUGUACGCCAAAGCGAAGCAGUCAAAGCAGAAGAGACUAAAGAUAUGAGAAUGGGAAGUGACAGGGAGAUGAAGAUCCAAAAGACAGGGAGGAGGAGAGGGAUUCUGGCGUGCGGACGGAGGCAGAAGAGGAAGCGAGGACGGGGGCUCUGGGAGGAAAGAACACUGUGGGAAAAAGCAGAUUAUUUUUCUUUCUUGCAUUUUUCACAUCCCUCUCUCUUCCUGUCUCCACUGAUUAAAAUGAGUGAUGUUGCACAUAAUUCCAAAAAAUGCAUAGACCACCCCCUCCCAAAUCCUGAGACCUUGAUAUCCAUCCACUCGUGAUAACUUAUCCUGUUCUUCCC
rnacentral:lncRNA from 1 species